UACGUAGGGGGCGAGCGUUGUCCGGAAUUAUUGGGCGUAAAGGGCUCGUAGGCGGUUUGUUGCGUCAGGGGUGAAAACUCGGGGCUUAACCCCGAGCCUGCUUCUGAUACGGGCAGACUAGAGGUAUGCAGGGGAGAACGGAAUUCCUGGUGUAGCGGUGAAAUGCGCAGAUAUCAGGAGGAACACCGGUGGCGAAGGCGGUUCUCUGGGCAUUACCUGACGCUGAGGAGCGAAAGUGUGGGGAGCGAACAGG
rnacentral:rRNA from 1 species